AGAGUACAAAAUUGGUUAAAAGAUUAAAUUAAGUAACAGGUAUUGUUGAGGGAUUAUUUAUAGUUCUAAUUAUAAUUAUUUCUUAUGAAUAGAGUUAUUUUCAGAUUGAAGAAGAUGUUUUUUCUUCACAUUUUAUUGAUGAACACAUUAAAACCAAGCAAGUUCACAUUGUCAAAGAGUUUCAAGUUUUAAUGAGGAAAUAUCAAGAAUUGCUCUUGAGCCAAGCCCAAAGAAAAA